GCAGGAUUAGUACAUCGGUAGUAUGUCGGCUUCCCAAGCCGAAGAGGCGGGUUCGAUUCCCGUAUCCUGCUCCA
rnacentral:tRNA from 1 species